UACCAGCACCCCGAGUGGUCGGGACGUUUAUUGGGCCUAAAGCAUCCGUAGCCGGUUCUACAAGUCUUCCGUUAGAUCCAACUGCUUAACAGGUGGGCUGCGGAAGAUACUAUAGAGCUAGGAGGCGGGAGAGGCAAGCGGUACUCGAUGGGUAGGGGUAAAAUCCGUUGAUCCAUUGAAGACCACCAGUGGCGAAGGCGGCUUGCCAGAACGCGCUCGACGGUGAGGGAUGAAAGCUGGGGGAGCAAACCGG
rnacentral:rRNA from 1 species